rnacentral:lncRNA from 1 species
UAUCGUUUCGUCGCGCCCUAGUUCCUGAAUAGGGCAGCAUAAGGGGCCAGCCACUGUUAAUAACAAGGUAGGGCCGCGCUUAACAUGUUGCGAUCGAUUCAGUUAGUGUGGAUGAUGCAAGGUGCAAGACAGCGGCCCUGUAGGUCACCCUACCCCUGUUGGCCAAGAGAGAUGAUGGCCCAGGUGUGAAACCCUGAGUGGCACGUGCACGCUUUCCACCUCUAGCUCCACCCUUUCCAAAACCUUCUAUCACUAAUGGAUAUUGCCCUUUCUCAUGUAGAGCCUCCUAGAAGCAAAGCUUCAGCAAGCCAAUCAGGCUCUCAUGAAGACUUUCAGCGGCGACGGCUGUCAUGCGCUCAACGAGCUGCGUUCGUACCGCGUGCCGCCACCGUUGACGUUCGGUGUGCUACAGUGCGUGCUGAUGCUCUCCGGUAACGAUGAGGAGGAUUGCCGCAAUUGGGCGCGCAUGCGUACGCUCUGUACUCAGCGGCUUAUCAAACGGCUGGUAACGUUACGGCCAGUGCAGGUGGGCACAGGGUUCCGGGUGCAUUGGUGCUGUUCCAGACGGGUUUAGAUGGAGUGGUUUCGCUCGAAAUUUGUGUAACCAGGCUGUAGGCUUGAGAAGACGGACCAAAUUAAGGGUGAGAACAUGGGAGUUGCCCAUGUGUAUCGAGGUCCGUGGAUGCACCCUGCUAUGUGGUCAUGCCCAUCAAGUGUAGCCGUGUCAAUAUGGUGUCAUGCAUAACGCGCAUUUCCGGAUGCACUGCUGAGCUGCAAGCAGACAGCUUUGGAGAGCCUUUGAAAGAGCGUUCCCGGCUGGAACGCGCGCUUCCAGAAGUUUCAGCUUUUCUUCGCAAUGCUCCUGUUCUAAUUAUUUGUCUAUUCCACUCUUUGGCCGUGCCUGAAGGUGCCUCGUCGUGUCUUCAAAGCCGUGAGGCGAUUGGUGGGUGACCUGGUGGAGAGCGAAGUCAAGCAAGAGAGCGUGGCCACUUUCAGCCUCUACCGCUGGCUGAGCGAUUUCACACGGCUUGCGUCAGUAGCAUAGACGAGCUGCAGCUGGGGUUGAAGUUAUAAAAGGGCUACCGGGGAAAGUUAACGGUAUGAAGUGAUUUAGUUGGAAACCAUCUACGUCGCGCUUACUGGAGGGCAUUCUCAAAGACCGUCUUAACCGCAUGGUGGCAAGUUGCUCGGGCAUGUGGGGCGCUUAGGGUAGGGUAAGCUUGACAUGUAUACCGUCGUUUCCCGCUGAUGGACGUGCGGAAUACUGAAGGUCGAGGUGUUCGACGUUUGUCAACAGCGCUCCUGGCGUAGCAUGCGAGUAUUGCAGGAUUGAGGCUAGAUUUUGACGUCGUUUAAGGGCAGGGGGCUGUGUGAGUUCUGUAGCCAUUGUGGAAAAACAGCACUAUUGCGUGACCUUGCGAACAGUUGCCGGGUUUGCUAUUCAUCGUGGAUUUUACUUAUAGGCGCAAUUCCUGCCCCUGCUCUGCGAGACAGCUUAGGUUAUGGAUUGUGGCGAGCCUUCGGUUCUCCCUCCCACAUAGUUCCAGAUGCAUUCUGCGAUGGAAGCGGGCCCACCACAAUUUCUGUGGCUGCUCCUCGCAUGUUCCACGAACUUGGAAGUGAAGACCCCGCGCGUCUCUCAAACGCGAAAGUCGGUGGGUAGGCUGCCGUCAGUUGAUGCCGCGCGGAAAUGCGCCUUAUGCUGCUGAAAGGCGGGUCAUGCAGGAGGGGUUACGUACACAGGGCAGCAUCGGGUCACAAAUAAGCUUGGCAGGUCCAUGAUAAAGGUAUGGUAAAGUUAACAUAGCAGAAAUCCUUGCGAACAGGCUUCUUGGCACCGAAGUGUUCCCC